AGUCCUGCAAUUGAUUCCUGACCUGCACAGAAGGUUACUUCUCAUCUGCAUGUAUUGAGUCAUUGGGUACCAUUACGCCCCCUGAUUUGAGGUCGUUGCUUUGGAUGAGAUGCAAAAACAAACAAAAGAGGGAAAAAAUCAAAAGAGCAUCUUCCGUUUGGAGCUGGAACCUGUGCAGGGAAGAGUGCCGGUGGUGCGGCCGUCAGCAGGGCUCGUGUUUGGCUGAGUGUGUGUUGACAGAAUAGGGAAUGUCCCCUGAUGCUUCAUUAGUUCCACACGAGGAGAACCUUGCUGCAGUUUGGCAGUUGAAUACACUUCUCCGAAUUAAUAAAAAAAAACAAGAGCAAAGAAAAAGAUAACUCCCUUCAUCCUGCUAUCUGCGGGAGAGCUGGCUGAGUAAUUAAGACCAGACAAAGCCAGAACUCCGUUUGCAGUGUGCCCCUGCUUUCAAAUCAUCAGAAGAGACCCACUGAAAAUGCAGGAGGCCUGUAUGAUGUGCUCUUUAAUUUUUGCAGCGUCGUGUGAAACUGUUUUGCAUUACAAAAAGACGGAGUUCCUCCUGUGAGCAAGAAAUACUCACCGGACACUCAUUAGGCAGCCAGAGCGUGGGGCUGAGAGCUGGGGGGAAGGGGGUGGGAGAUUGUCGGUGUCCACCCGACGUGUCUGCGACCAGACCAUGGACCGGGGCGGGGCAGGACCUGGAGAGCCAUCCGGCCUCCUGAGAGGUACAGUUGCUACCACCUUCCCUGUUCCCAUCGGCUGACCUCGCGCUGAUCACAGCCCAUCCGCUGGCCUGCCUGCAGUCUGUUCAUCUCGCUGGCACGCUACUGGCACGGGUGAAUUUUUCCCAGAUAAACAUCAGUCUUCUCCACGGGCGUCUGCGUCAGGCCCUACAUGGUGCCCGUGUAACGAUACAACCACAACGGUACAACACAACCACAGUGUCGUGGGUGCACCGCGGGUUUGCAGUAGCAGCCAGCAGUCAGCGAAUGUAGCCAACAAAAGAACCCAUACCCCCCCACGUGGCAGGAGGAGGAGGAGGGUGCUGCAAUGCCGAGGAAGAGCAAGCUGAUCCAGGCUGAGAGCCUGACAGCACAGCCAACUAAAAACGGGAUAGACGCAGCAGAGACCUCCUAAAAAAAACCCUUCUUUCCUUGCUUUCCAUCUGCAGAGACAGGAGCAGUUGAUGUGAUGAGGGGGAGGGAACGUGCACCAGUCGUCGCCCCCCCAGUCUCCCUCUGAGAAAGCCGCCGGGAGGUAAAUCCUUAAAAACCACAACAGAGGGCCCCCGACCCCGCUGACGUACAACAUCUGUUCUUGUAAAGAUGGGGCCAGGGGUCAAGGGACCCCUUCCACAAGCCUGAUCUCAGCAGUAGCCGAGGUGGACCAGUAGGAGGUGCUCACCCCUCAUCCCUGGGCCCAGAAGCUCAAGAAGCCACGUCUGACUUUGGCUGCAGCCCUAUGGCUCCUUAAAAUGAGGUUCUGACUGCCUUUUGCAGACUAUAGCGAGCUGGCCAGUCUUGAAACCAAUAGGAGAGGACAUCCCACUGGGAAUAUUCUGGGAACAGCCUUCCCUUCCCCCCCCCCCCCCCUCCCUGUUGCUUAAUUGGCUCAGUAAUUCUUUAGUUUCUCUCCCGUAUCUGUAGGCCUCUGAGCUGCUGCCCUCGCUGGUUCUGUUAAUUGCGUUUUCCCGGCUCUUAUGCAAGGGCAGCUGUCGCGUGUCCUUGGGUUCACCCUGCUCUUCCUUCUGACAGGCCCUUCAAGAGCCGAAAGAAAGGACGGAGAAGGGGAAUUGAAUUCUCUUUCGUCCAGCAGCGCUCUUUAAUGGGAUUAUUUCCACUCAACCCUCCCGUGUUUCCUGCCAGAGACAGUUAAGCCCUUCCAAAACCCUUUUGUGUCCAGAGAAUCUAACGGCCUCUGACAACAGGAACUCAGACUGCUCAAGACUCUGGUAAGUAAUCGAACCCUUAGCACAAUGAAGUCAGUGCUUGAUGCUUAAUAUUCUUUCUGCCCUCUACUGUAGGUGGCAGUGCACUUUGAGCCACUGUGUAUGACUGUGGGGGCUUCUAAUUUGCUUUUUACCCUGAGCGAUUGCAUAAUCUCCUGUUCGCGGGAGAAGCUUGAAGGUCUGCCUUAUCUUUUCAUGCUCUUCUCUAUACUGGCAGCUGGCAGGGGUUCGAAGGUCACUGAGCAGGAGGCUCCUGUUUUUGGGGGUUUUCUCCUGGCGCUCCUGUUUCCUCCCACAGUUCAAAGACAUGCUGGUAGGUCAACUGGCUUCUGGGAAAAUGGGCCCUCCUUUACACAAAGGGUGGUGGGAGUAUGGAGCGAUGCCAACACCAUGGCCUCUUUCAAGAAACAGCUGGCUCUUUGGAUCAGCCAGCAACUAACUACACAACCAAGGCGCUGGAUAGGCCACAUGCGCAUUUCACAAAUUUUGCAAACGUUCUGUUCUUGCAUUCUGUACGAGGGACAAGUUCAAAGAGAGCUGGAUCUCACCCAGGUGCUAUUAGAUUCUUUUACUCCAUCCUGUAUAUGUCCAGCUGCUCUUUGGUUUACGAUGGCCAGUGCUGGGUGCAGAAUUGGUGAAUGUGCUGCUGGCAGGGAUAUAAAUGAUGACUUCAGUUGCGGUGCUGGAUUUUCUGCUUUGGACUGCUCGCUUCUCUGAGUGCUUUUCCAGUUCAACAGAAGCCAAUCGGGGCAUAAUAAGGAUUCCCAAAGCUAACAGAUGAGACGCUGUUGCUGGGAAAACACAUCGGGAAGCCAAAAUCCAAAUGCAGCCAAAUGCAGAAGAGGCCACUCGGAUCUGCCAGCUACAGAACAUCAAAAGUUAGUGGAUGCAGUGACUCAGGAACAUGUCCUCCCAGGGUCUCGUGUUAUUUUGUGUUUGCAAUCGCCAGUUUUAUCUCUGUGCCUCAGCUCAGAGUCCCAAGGGGAGACUUGUCAGGACAGAGGGGAUCCC